rnacentral:lncRNA from 1 species
GUCCAUCAGAACAGUCAUCUGUCGUAUGAUCACCGCAAUCUGUGCCUCCGUGGUCACCACAGGAUGCGGAGAGCUGGGUUCCGCCACGAAGGGUGGAGGAGGGGCCUCUUUCCGAUAGGAAGAGUGCCUCGCCGAUCCGAUAGCUCUUGAUCGCUGAGCCCUGAUUCUUAUCAUCUCGAGAGAUUUUUCAAGCUCUACGGAGCUCGUAACCCCCCUACCUGGCACGCCAAAUCUGUUGCGACCAAUUCCCUCG